GGAAAUAGCUCAGUGGUAGAGCACAUAUGCAUGAGGUCCUGGGUUCAAUCCCAGUACCUCCA
rnacentral:tRNA from 1 species